AGCGAACGUUAGCGGCGCGCUUAACACAUGCAAGUCGAGCGGUAAGGCCCUUCGGGGUACACGAGCGGCGAACGGGUGAGUAACACGUGGGUGACCUGCCCUUAGCUCUGGGAUAAGCCUGGGGAAACUGGGUCUAAUACCGGAUAUGACCUCAUGACGCAUGUUGUGGGGUGGAAAGCCUUGUGCGGCUAGGGAUGGGCCCGCGGCCUAUCAGCUUGUUGGUGGGGUGAUGGCCUACCAAGGCGACGACGGGUAGCCGGCCUGAGAGGGCGACCGGCCACACUGGGACUGAGACACGGCCCAGACUCCUACGGGAGGCAGCAGUGGGGAAUCUUGCGCAAUGGGCGGAAGCCUGACGCAGCGACGCCGCGUGAGGGAUGACGG
rnacentral:rRNA from 1 species